GAUGAACGCUAGCGGCAGGCCUAACACAUGCAAGUCGAGGGAGAAGCCCUUUCGGGGGCAGAAACCGGCGCACGGGUGCGUAACGCGUAUGCAACCUACCUUUCACAGGGGGAUAGCCCGAAGAAAUUUGGAUUAAUACCCCAUAAUAUUAUUGGAUGGCAUCAUUUGAUAAUUAAAACUGCGGUGGUGAAAGAUGGGCAUGCGUCCUACUAGCUAGUUGGAGUGGUAACGGCACCCCAAGGCUACGAUAGGUAGGGGUCCUGAGAGGGAGAUCCCCCACACUGGUACUGAGACAGGGACCAGACUCCUACGGGAGGCAGCAGUGAGGAAUAUUGGUCAAUGGUCGGAAGACUGAACCAGCCAUGCCGCGUGCAGGAAGAAUGCCUUAUGGGUUGUAAACUGCUUUUAUAUGGGAAGAAUAAGGUGUACGUGUACAUUGAUGACGGUACCAUAUGAAUAAGCAUCGGCUAACUCCGUG
rnacentral:rRNA from 1 species